GGGGGUGACUUGGCUUCGACGUGGAUUGCAAACCCUGAGGCGCAUGCCGAGGUGCAGAUGACCUCGUAAAACCAUCUGCAAAAAAAUAGACGCAAACGACGACGUUUACGCCCUGGCUGCUUAAGUCAGCCAGCCUCUGAUAGAAGCCUGCUUUUGGACUUCGACCCAGGGGUAACCCAAGCAAAAGCUCGCGAUGAGGCCUGUCCGGAGCCGAUUCGCCAAAACUCACGGAAUCGCGGUUGAUUGUCCCUGCCGUUCGGGUAGUCAAACGUUAAACAUCAAUAGAGCCGGAUAAGCAUGUAGGGCCAAAGGCGGAGGAUUUGCGGACGCGGGUUCAAUUCCCGCCACCUCCACCA
rnacentral:tmRNA from 1 species